GACGAACGCUGGCGGCGUGCUUAACACAUGCAAGUCGAACGGAAAGGCCCUGCUUUUGUGGGGUGCUCGAGUGGCGAACGGGUGAGUAACACGUGAGUAACCUGCCCUUGACUUUGGGAUAACUUCAGGAAACUGGGGCUAAUACCGGAUAGGAGCUCCUGCUGCAUGGUGGGGGUUGGAAAGUUUCGGCGGUUGGGGGUGGACUCGCGGCUUAUCAGCUUGGUGGUGGGGUAGUGGCUUACCAAGGCGUUGACGGGUAGCCGGCCUGAGAGGGUGGCCGGCCACAUUGGGGCUGAGGGACGGCCCAGACUCCUACCGGAGGCAGCAGUGGGGAAUAUUGCACAAUGGGCGGAAGCCUGAUGCAGCCACGCCGCGUGCGGGAUGACGCCCUUCGGGUUGUAAACCGCUUUCGCCUGUGACGAAGCGUGAGUGACGGUAAUGGGUAAAGAAGCACCGGCUAACUACGUG
rnacentral:rRNA from 1 species